rnacentral:rRNA from 1 species
UGAGGAAUAUUGGUCAAUGGACGCAAGUCUGAACCAGCCAUGUCGCGUGCAGGGUGACGGCCCUAUGGGUUGUAAACUGCUUUUUUACGGGAAUAAUUGCAUCUACGUGUAGGUGUUUGAAGGUACCGUAUGAAUAAGGAUCGGCUAACUCCGUGCCAGCAGCCGCGGUAAUACGGAGGAUUCGAGCGUUAUCCGGAUUUAUUGGGUUUAAAGGGUCCGUAGGCGGGCUUGUAAGUCAGUGGUGAAAUCCCGGAGCUCAACUCCGGAACUGCCAUUGAUACUGCAGGUCUUGAAUUUAGUUGAGGUGGGCGGAAUACGUUAUGUAGCGGUGAAAUGCAUAGAUAUAACGU